rnacentral:rRNA from 1 species
UUUUUAUUGAAAUCUCGUAUGAAUGGUUGGACAAAAGAAAUACUGUCUUUAUAUUAAAAAUUGAAUUUAACUUUUAAGUGAAAAGGCUUAAAUGUCCCAGAAAGACGAUAAGACCCUAUAAAACUUUACAUUUAAAUUAGUUUCUUAUCGAAUUUGAAAGAAAAUAAAGAUUUGAUUUAAUUAUUUUGUGUUGGUGGGGAGACAAUAGUAAAUUUUUUUUUAACCGCUAAACUAUUACACAGUGGUAUGCGUGUAAAUAAAUUAAUAGAUCCUUUUUAAAGACUUAAAGAUUAAGUUACUUUAGGGAUAACAGCGUUAUUUCUUUUGAGAGUCCAUAUCGAAAGGGGAGAUUGCGACCUCGAUGUUGAAUUAAAAUAUCUUUAUAAUGCAGCUGUUAUAAAAGAAAGUCUGUUCGACUUUUAAAUUUUUAC